CGCUGGCGGCAUGCCUAACACAUGCAAGUCGAACGAGACCUUCGGGUCUAGUGGCGCACGGGUGCGUAACGCGUGGGAAUCUGCCCUUCGGUUCGGAAUAACUCAGGGAAACUUGAGCUAAUACCGGAUAAUGACGUAAGUCCAAAGAUUUAUCGCCGAAGGAUGAGCCCGCGUAGGAUUAGCUUGUUGGUGGGGUAAUGGCCCACCAAGGCGACGAUCCUUAGCUGGUCUGAGAGGAUGAUCAGCCACACUGGGACUGAGACACGGCCCAGACUCCUACGGGAGGCAGCAGUGGGAAUAUUGGACAAUGGGCGAAAGCCUGAUCCAGCAAUGCCGCGUGAGUGAUGAAGGCCUUAGGGUUGUAAAGCUCUUUUACCCGGGAUGAUAAUGACAGUACCGGGAGAAUAAGCUCCGGCUAACUCCGUG
rnacentral:rRNA from 1 species